GUGUUCUUAGAAAGGAGAGAUGGUUGGCAUCUUCCCUGACAGGGACGGGGUUCCCUCUUAACACACCCGGUUCUACCGGAUAAGGAUUGUGAAAGGUUUAGUAAUUUGC
rfam:Morus notabilis contig21960, whole genome shotgun sequence.